GGGGGCAUAGCUCAGUGGUAGAGUGUGUGCUUAUCAUGCAUGAACCCUCUGGUUCAAUCUCUAGUGCCCCAA
rnacentral:tRNA from 1 species